GGAGUUAGGAAAUGUAGAGGCGUUAAUAGCGCCUUUAUUUGACGAAGGCUCCAGAGGAAGCCACGGCUAACUCUGUGCCAGCAGCCGCGGUAAUACAGAGGUGGCAAGCGUUGUUCGGAAUUAUUGGGCGUAAAGAGCACGUAGGCGGUCCUGCAAGUCUGUUGUGAAAUCCUUCCGCUUAACGGGAGAACGGCAGCUGAUACUACAGGACUAGAGUACGGGAGGGGAGAGUGGAACUUCUG
rnacentral:rRNA from 1 species